rnacentral:pre_miRNA from 1 species
AGUGGGAUAUCUGGGUCAAAUGGUGGUUCCAUUCCAAGAUUUCUAAAGAAUAUGCUUAUUGCUUUCCAGAUUGGUGGCACCAAUUUGCAGUCCCACCAGCAAU